ensembl:snRNA U6 U6 spliceosomal RNA
GUGCUUGCUUCAACAGCACAAAUACUAAAACUGAAAUGAUACUGAGAAGAUUAGCAUGGUCCCUUUGCAAAGAUGAUACACAAAUUUUUGAAAUAUUCCAUAUUUUA